UAGCUUCUGUCGCGGCAGGGAGAAGGGAGAGGUUCUUUCUGGUGAGAAAAAAUAGGAGCUGGCAUCUGAGCCAGCCUUAGAAGGAUGAACUGGAGAACUGGAGGCGGAACACUGCAGACUCUGAAACAGGCCUGGGAAGGACCUGAAGCUCCCCCAGCCCAAGGAAAACUGGUGGGUGACAGGAAGGAGAAGCAUGACCUCCAGUGCACACUGAGUCCCAGCAGGGCCAGCUCACCCAGGAGCU
rnacentral:lncRNA from 1 species